ACGAACGCUGGCGGUGCGCCUUAUGCAUGCAAGUUGAGCGAAGCUUUUUGGUAGUUUACUACUAGAAAUGACUGAGCGGCGAACGGGUGAGUAACGCGUGAGCAAUCUACCUUAGUUACUGGGAUAGCCCGAGGAAACUCGGAUUAAUACCAGAUAUUCUUAUUUUUUCACAUGAAGUUUUAAGGAAAGGUCAGCCGAACUAAGAUGAGCUCGCGUUCUAUCAGCUAGUUGGUGGGGUAAAAGCCUACCAAGGCAACGACGGAUAGCUGGCCUGAGAGGACGAUCAGCCACACUGGGACUGAGACACGGCCCAGACUCCUACGGGAGGCUGCGGCAGGGAAUAUUGUGCAAUGAGCGAAAGCUUGACACAGCGACACCGCGUGUGGGAUGACGGUUCUAGGAUUGUAAACCACUUUCAGGAGGGAAGAAAAUGACGGUACCUCCACAAGAAGACCCGGCCAACUAUGUGCCAGCAGCCGCGGUAAUACAUAGGGGUCAAGCGUUGUCCCGGAUUUAUUGGGCGUAAAGAGCUCGUAGGCGGUUCAACAAGUCGGUCGUAAAAGUUUAGGGCUCAACCCUAAAAUGUCGAUCGAUACUGUUGUGACUAGGAUACGGUAGAGGGUGAAUGGAAUUCCGAGUGUAGCGGGUGAAAUGCGUAGAUAUUCGGAGGAACACCAAUUGCGAAGGCAGUUCACUGGACCGUGAUCGACGCUGAGGAGCGAAAGCUAGGGGAGCAAACAGGAUUAGAUACCCUGGUAGUCCUAGCUGUAAACGAUGGAUACUAGAUGUAGGAACUGGAUUGACGGUUUCUGUAUCGUAGCUAACGCGUUAAGUAUCCCGCCUGGGGAGUACGGUCGCAAGACUAAAACUCAAAGGAAUUGACGGGACCCCGCACAAGCGGCGGAGCAUGCGGCUUAAUUCGAUGAUACCCGUAGAACCUUACCUGGACUUGACAUAUAGGGAAAAACUGGAGAAAUCCAGUGUGCGUAAGCGCCCUUUACAGGUGGUGCAUGGCUGUCGUCAGCUCGUGUCGUGAGAUGUUGGGUUAAGUCCCGCAACGAGCGCAACCCCUGUCCUAUGUUGCCAGCAAGUAAUGUUGGGGACUCAUAGGAGACUGCCGGUGAUAAACCGGAGGAAGGUGGGGAUGACGUCAAGUCAUCAUGCCCCUUAUGUCCAGGGCUGCACGCAUGCUACAAUGGCAAGUACAACGAGUCGCAAUACCGCGAGGUGGAGCAAAUCUCUUAAAGCUUGUCUCAGUUCGGAUAGGAGUCUGCAACUCGACUCCUUGAAGUUGGAGUCGCUAGUAAUCGCAAAUCAGCAAAGUUGCGGUGAAUACGUUCUCGGGGUUUGCACUCACCGCCCGUCAAGGGC
rnacentral:rRNA from 1 species